rnacentral:rRNA from 1 species
GAUGAACGCUGGCGGCGUGCCUAAUACAUGCAAGUCGAGCGAACGGACGAGAAGCUUGCUUCUCUGAUGUUAGCGGCGGACGGGUGAGUAACACGUGGAUAACCUACCUAUAAGACUGGGAUAACUUCGGGAAACCGGAGCUAAUACCGGAUAAUAUUUUGAACCGCAUGGUUCAAAAGUGAAAGACGGUCUUGCUGUCACUUAUAGAUGGAUCCGCGCUGCAUUAGCUAGUUGGUAAGGUAACGGCUUACCAAGGCAACGAUGCAUAGCCGACCUGAGAGGGUGAUAGCCCACACUGGAGCUGAGACACGGUCCAGGCUACUACGGGAGGCAGCAGUAGGGAAUCUUACGCAGUGGGCGAAAGCCUGACGGAGCAACGCCGCGUGAGUGAUGAAGGUCUUCGGAUCGUAAAACUCUGUUAUUAGGGAAGAACAUAUGUGUAAGUAACUGUGCACAUCUUGACGGUACCUAAUCAGAAAGCCACGGCUAACUACGUG